GCUGUCUGGUCUGUAAUUGACGCUGAGGCUCGAAAGCAUGGGUAGCAAACAGGAUUAGAUACCCUGGUAGUCCAUGCCGUAAACGAUGAAUACUAGGUGUUGGAGGGUUUCCGCCCUUCAGUGCCGCAGCUAACGCAUUAAGUAUUCCGCCUGGGGAGUACGACCGCAAGGUUGAAACUCAAAGGAAUUGACGGGGGCCCGCACAAGCGGUGGAGCAUGUGGUUUAAUUCGAAGCAACGCGAAGAACCUUACCAGGUCUUGACAUCUUCUGCUAAUUCAAGAGAUAGAACGUUCCCUUCGGGGACGGAAUGACAGGUGGUGCAUGGUUGUCGUCAGCUCGUGUCGUGAGAUGUUGGGUUAAGUCCCGCAACGAGCGCAACCCUUUUUGAUUAGUUGCCAGCAUUAAGUUGGGCACUCUAGUGAGACUGCCGGGUGACAAACCGGAGGAAGGUGGGGA
rnacentral:rRNA from 1 species